GCUUCGCAGCAGCAGCCGCUUUCCUCUUGGGCGCAGCAGUUGCCUUGGGUUUAACCGCCGCGGAUUUCUUCGCUACCUUCGACUUCGCAGCUGCUGCGGUGGCAACCUUCUUCCCCUUCGCCGCUGCGGCAGCAGGUUUCUUCUUCUCCGUAACCGCCUUGGGAGACGACGACGGCUUAGCAGACGGAAUCUUAAACGAGGCUUUAACCUUCACGAGCUUCUCGGAAGCAACGAGCCUCUUGAGAUUGAGAAGCAGGAGCUUCCUGAACGAAGGCGAGAGCACCUUGUGCUUCUCCUCGAUGAACUUCUGAAUCGCGUACUGGCUAGAUCCAGUUCUCUCCUUCAACGAUACGAUCGCAUCCUUGAUCAUCUGAAUCGCAACAACAGUAUAAUCAAUAUCACAAUCUCACAAUCGAUUAACACGAAAGCUAGAUCUGAGUCUCGUUACCUCCUCGUAAGUAGGAUGAGUCGAAACAGACUUCUUCUUCGCAGCCGCAGCAGCAGGCUUCUUCUUCGCCUUAGCCUUCGCCUUCACUUCCUUAGCUUUCUUCGCCUUGCCUCCCUUCGCAGCAGGCUCCGUCGCCGUCGCGUUGGUUACGUCCAUAGGAGGGAUGUUCUCUUGAUCAACCGCUGGACUCGUCAUCGGGAAGUUGAUUUUGAUUGCUAGUAACCGUAAAUGUAAAGCUUCAGAGAGGAUGAGAAGUUACUAUGAGAAAUGGUGAUAUGAUCAUUUCAUCGGAAACGGUUCGAUUUAUAUAGUUAGAUGUGUGUUAGACGGCAAUGUCGUAUCUCUCUUCUGAUUGGUUGAAACAAUGACUACGCGGAUCGCUACUCUUUUUACAAAGUUUGAAUGCUAACCGUUGGAUCUUUAUUUAUCAACGGCGCAGAAUGGAUGACUUUUGAUGUCAGUGGAUGUGGAUUUUAGAUGCUUUAGGCAUGUUUGCUGUGCUUUUAGGCUCGAUUGAUUUGAUCGUAACUAUUGAUAUACUUGAUGAAAUUCGUUUUUGUUUUUUGCAUUGUGUAGAACAAUCUGUGAGCUUUCGUUUGAUUAUCUAAUUGUGUCGAAAGGGUUAUUCUGUAGUGAGAAAAUCGGAUUUAAAGAGAAAUGUGUCAUUAGUAUUGUUUUUUCUUGGUUGUGUUAUAGUAAAUUUGGUUUUUGGAAUAUUGUUGAAGAGAGGUUCGUAGAAAAAGUGCGUUAAUCCAAAACCAGACAAGCCAAGGAGUGAAUCGAACCAUGUAUCCAGAAAGUUUGGUUACUUCACGAUGCAAAAUCACAUGACUGGUUACUAAUCAAGAUGACAAUCUUCUAGAAUAUGCUGCACACCGCGUGUUGAUAUGUGUGUUAGACUUUUGUUAAACACGGUCAGAGGGUCAAAUCGUUUCGUAUAUUGUGAUAUACUUUUAACCAUAUGAUCAACUCAUUUUAGUAAACAUAAGCAUGGACGUAUAUUGUGAUAUACUUCUAACCAUAUAUAUGAUCAACUCAUUUUAGUAAACAUAAGCAUGGACGUCCAUUCGUAUGUCCAUUCGUACUACAAUCUUUGGAUUUCCAUUCGUACUACAAUCAUAUAAGAAUUUCGAUAAUAAGUAAUAAUUAAGCUUAUUACAAGAUUUUAUCAAUACACGACAUUCAUAUUAUAUGCAUUUGGAGUUUCUAAUUGACCGCACGUAUUUUGAUCGCUGUGUUCUUACUCCGAGAUUAGAUAUGCAUCUGAUUUAUUCUCUUUAAUGGGUUCAAAUUUCUAGAUAACCACAUGAAUAUACAGUCCAUCCAAAUUGUAUAUGAAGCUCAUGUAGAGACAUCAGACAAGGUUGCACAAAAAAAAAUUGAUGAACAAACCCUAAACCCUACUCCAUUUCUUAGUCUUUAUUCGAUGUUUGGUAAACAUAUUUUUUUACGAUAAGGGUCCACUAUUUUACAUUAGAGGCCACAAAGGUAAGUUUUUCAUUUCACUGGGUCAUUCGCAUAUGGCUUAUCAUUUUUUGGAUAUUUGUUUUUGUAAAAUUUUGUAUUUUACCCAAAAAAAACUAGGGCUGGGCAAAUAAACUGAACCCGAAAAUCCGAACCGAACCCUAUCUGAUAAAAAUGAAUUCGAACCGAUCCGAACCCGACAUAAAUACCGAAUGGAUCAUGUUUUUUGGUAUUUUGGGUUAUGGGUAUUAUCCGAACCGAACCCGGACCUAAAUGGAUAUCCAAUAGAACCGAAACCUUUAAAAUCACAAAAAGAACUUCUACCAAAUAUGAUCUUAAUUCUUAAUAUAUAUCCAAAAUACUUUAAGAUAUUAUCGAACUUCUAAAAUAAUUAUAUGUCACAUGAAGGUUGAUGGUAGAAUGUGGCGGUUGAAGCUUGAAGUGUUUAGAUUUUGGUUUUGUUUUCAUUGAAUAAUGUUUCUCAUUUCAUGAGAAAUUAGUUUUUGUUUUAUGAUUUCAUUUAUCUAGUUUUCUUUCUAUCACUAACUAUGUUUAUCUUUCGCUUGAUUUUGAAUGAUCACGUUUCUUGUUUUUACUUAUUUUUGAAUCGAUUUUACUUAUGUUUUGGCUAUUAAAAUAUGUACAAGUCAUGUAUUUUAAAUCCGAAGAACCGAUUUCAUUUAUGUUUUAGUUACAAAAUAUGUACAAAUCAGAUAUAUUUAAACCGAAGAACCGAUUGGGACCCGAACCCGAAAGUACAAUGGGUUAUACCGGUUCUUUGAAGAUUUACUAACCCUUGGCUUAAAGAAGUCUUCAUCAUCACUAAUUUCAUUGUUCUCGUUUAUCAAGGCAGUAGCUGAUGAUGCUGAUGCACCAUACACAAUUUGCAUCAAGUUCGGGUUCUUCUUUCUGCCCUUUUCUUUUAAGGGUUCUUUCCAUUUUGAUAUGUUACCAAGGACCUUAUCUUCUGAUUCCUCAACAUCAUCUUCAUCUGAGUCCUGAGAAUCGGAAACAGAUUCAUCUUCCCCAUCUUCAUCUUCAUUUCCGUCAGAUUCAGCAUCUUCUGCUUCCUCAUCAUCAUCAUCACCAUCUUCAUCUGAGUCCUGCGUCAUAACAAACGGUAAAGCUGGCAAGUUAGACAUGAAGAUGCUGUUUGAAUAAUAGAAGCAUUACGAAAAAUCAGAUCAAGCAAAGAAAUUUCAAUUGCAUCACUCACAUCAACCUCAUCCUUGAAGAUAGCUUUCCUCCUCAGCCUUCCACCACGGAGCUCGGUUUUCUCCUUAAUUUUACCGUCAUUACUAUCUACAUCCAUUUCAUGAUCAUCAACAUCAUCAUCAGACUGAGAUUCCUCUGAUGACUCAGCGUCAGAACCUUCCGGUGACGAUUGCGCAUCUGCCUCAAGUUUUCUUUCCGAGCUGGCACUAGUCUUUUUGCCAAAUAAAUUAAUGAAAGUCUUAUCCAAUUUCUCAUCAACAGAAUAUUUUGUGUUCUGCAACGACUUCACCAAAUCCUCACCAACAUCCUUGCCCCUUCCUGCCAAGAGAAAAAAUGUCAUUCAACUCAUUACUGAGAUAAAGCAUAAAGCGAGUAAAAUGCAAGAAUGCAAGAUGCUGGAAAACCCUUAAUUACCUUUAUUAGCAGGUUCUCCAUUUUCUUCAUCGGUUUUAGAGUACUGAACAAGGUGAUCAUUUAUGUUGAUGUAAACAGCAUCUUUGUCAUACAAAAGAUCUCCAAUCCCGGACAUAGGAGCAUAGAAAAGCUUUUCUCUGUCCCUCAGCCCCUUUUUCUUGGCAGCUGAGGGUAAAGGACAAGGAUCAGGUAAGGCAGUCACCCCAGCUAAACUAUAGUCACCAACUCCAGCAAUGUGAACCUGAUAAUCAUAAGAACUUAUAUCAGAUGCAUGUUAAACAUGAAAAGAAAGGUCCAUUGCAAGGGUUAAGACAACAUUUUCAGCAUAACAGCAAACAUUUACAUCAAGAAGCAGAGUGCAUACAAAUUUAUGCUACUACAUUAAUGAAGACCCAAAAAAUGCUAUCAAAUCAUUUCAUUUCUUGGCUCAAUUACAAUUGAUCUUUUACCCGGGAUUUAUUGAGGGUUUUGCCACAGAACUGCUAAGCACACAAAAUAAUAGAGAAACAUCUGAUGUCAUACCUUCAUCCCUUUCUUCAAGUUACAACCACGAAGGUAACCAUACAAUGUGAUAUUCCUAUCGCAUUUCUUAUCCAUCUGAACUUUCUCGGGAGGGGUAACAUCUUCCAGACGAUCAGCCAACACAUAAGGAUGUGAUGUUCUCCAUGACAACGGAUGAAACUUGAUGACAGAUAUAAAGCGGGACAAGUUAAGAACUUCACGUUGUGAAUACCUGAGAAUAAAAGAUACAUCAAAGGUGAACCUCAAGAAUUGCUUGUACAUGCUAUAAAUGUAGAUACUUACUUCCCAUGAAUGAGACCAGAUAAAUAGAACAAUUUAGCUCCAUUAUAAAUCUCAGUCCAGAAACGAUGCUUGAGACGUUGCUUUGUCUUCCUCAACUUCUUCACAUCCUUGAACUUAUCCAGAUGAGUGAGGACUCCCAUAACUUUAGGGAAUCCAUGCACUUGCAUAAUAUUUAGGAACUCAAAGGUUUCCUGCGAAUCAAACAGAUUAAAAGACAGUUUACUUACCACAUUAUCUAGGCCAGAGAGAGGUCAAGCUUCAUGAAGCACAUUAUAUUAACAAAAGAAUAGUCAGUGGUCUCUCACCAUCUCGAAACCAUAACUACCGUCUAUGAGAAGUAUAGCUAGAUCAGCAACCUUGGCACAAUCAAUCAUCCCAUUGAUAUCAUUAGGGCACUCCACAAACUGUAUCCGUUUCUUCUUACCUAAAAUACAUGACCAGCCAAACAUGAGAAGAAGAAUAAAACCAUACCCUAAAAAUUAAAAGAACAAAUGUAGCACGAACCUUGAACAAUGGUAAUAGGUCCUCGAACCUCAGGCACAUUCUGGUGCGUAAAAUGCUUAACAAGGGACUUAAUCACUAAAGACUUUCCAACCUACAGUAAACAGAUACCAUCAACACAUCUGCAGGAAAAAAAAAAACUUUAAUCAAAGAGUGUUUAUAAGAAACACAGUACCCCUGGGGGCCCUUGAACAACGACGACGAAAGGAGGAGGUUCUCCGUAAGUACGAUCAGCAGUCGGAAGAUGAAUCCGCCGCUGCUCCUUCUCCACAGCUCGAAUCUUCAAACGCUUCGCCUUAACAACCGACCUAACGCUAAACGCCUGCAGAUUCAAAAGUUAAACUCAGCUCUUCCGUAAACAUAGAUUAUCGAAUUCGAAGAUAUAUUGACAUGAGAUGAGCUGAGAGGAACUCACUCUAGGGUUUGGCUGCUUGUUAUCCGCGACGCCGCGCUUCUUCUUGUCAAUCUCAGAUUUCUUCCGCAUCGUAGGACCCGAUUUGCGCAUCCUGUGGGACUUCUGCGACGACAUCAAAUCGUCGGCGGCCAUGGCGUAGGCUGGGAAGAAGAUGAAGUGAGGUUUUUGGUAAAGAAGCAAAACCCUCGUCUAUAAAACCAAGCUAUAUAUAAUAAGAUCAUAGAAGCGGUUCAACCGAACAAACCGGAUUAUCCUAAUUUUAUAUCGGUUAAAUUUGGCGUUCUACAUUCAUACCGGUUUGGUUUAAUUAACAUUCUAUACAUUCCGGUUCGGUUUAAUUUGAUACCAGUGAAGCUUUCUCUCUCGGACCUUUCUCAUCAGCCAAUUUCAAGAUUGAAGACGGGAGAGAGAGAGAGAGAGAGAGAGAGCUUGAAGGAGGAGGACGAAGCAUUCGAAAAAAAAGAAUCUCUCUUUCGUCUUCCUGAGCUCGUCUGAAUGAAUCGUCACGCGCUUGCCCUCAAAUUCCACUCCUUCUCUCCUCAGUAUGCGUUAUCCCUCUCCAAUCUCACCCUCCAAAGCCCUAAUCCUCUCCAAUUUCGAGUUCCGAAUGUGAGCAGCAGUCCCGUAUCUCUCCGAUCCCGGAGCAGCGCCGCCGAUGUAUCCCCCGUUAGAUACACGGAUGUCUCCUCCUCCUCCUCCAUCGGCUCGCUCGGGGGGACCGGAGGUGUGGUGGUGGCGGAGAAACCUAUCGAUGUCGCAACUCUGGGUAAUCUCUGCGUCGACAUUGUUCUCAGUGUUGACGAAUUGCCCCCGAAUUCUCGCGGAGAACGCAAGGCGCUCAUGGACGAGCUCUCUCUUUCUCCCCCAGAUAAGGUUUGGUGAUAAAGUGAAACACUUUGUGUUUGUUCUUGGUGUUAUUAGUGAAGGUUUUUGUUUUGUUUUUGGUUAUAGAAAUAUUGGGAAGCAGGUGGGAACUGUAACAUGGCUAUAGCAGCUGCUAGACUUGGGCUUCAGUGUGUUGCUAUUGGUCACGUGGGGGAUGAGAUAUACGGAGAGUUUCUUCUAGAUGUGCUUCAUGAAGAGGGGAUAGGUACGGUUGCGUUGGAUGGAGAAGCAGCAAAUGCCAAAGACGCCAGCUCGUUCUGUGAAACUCUUAUUUGCUGGGUUCUUGUGGAUCCUCUCCAGAGGCAUGGGUUUUGCAGGUAACUGCUUUAACUGAAAAUGCCUCUCAUGAAAACUCGAAUGUUCGUUCUUUGAACUUUGAUUGUAGUGGUUUGUGUGGGACGACAGUGUCUAAUAAUAGAUAAUGAAUGCAUAAACCUGCCAUCUAGAAUAGGAGGUCUCAUAUAAAUAGAGCUCUUUUGUAAUGAAUGCUGCAGACUAAUCAGAUUGUUUUUUGUUAUCGGAAAGCGAUAUUUCACUCGCUUAUAGUUUUUCUUAAUGCCUAUGCAUAAGAACGUAUGGCUUUCUUGUUUAGACAUCUAGUUUCUCUUAGAGAUACAAACUCUAGUGGGGUGAUCUUGUCAUACUUGCUUAUGCUUCCAGUAUGAUUCCAUUUUUCCUGAAUUCUUCUUCUACUAGAGUCUGUUUUUAUUCCUUUUCUUAUCUCUGUAUGUGAAUCGAAAUCUUGGAGGUGAUUUCAUUGAACUUACUCCCGAAUACUGUUUAUUUCUUUUAAGCACCUGGAUUUUGUUACUAGGGGUACUUACGUCUGUGGUUGUUUCUCUUUUUUUUAGUCGAGCCGACUUCAAGGAGGAACCUGCUUUUAGUUGGAUAACUGACAUAUCUGAUGAAGUAAAGAUGGCAAUCAGGCAGUCGAAAGUUAUUUUCUGCAAUGGUUAUGACUUUGACGAUUUCAGCCCUAGCUUUAUAAUGUCAACGAUAGACUACGCUACCAAAGUUGGGACAGCUAUCUUCUUUGAUCCUGGACCACGGGGCAAGAGUCUUUCCAAGGGAACUCCUGAUGAGCGCAGAGCACUUUCUCAUUUCUUUAGAAUGAGUGAUGUUCUUCUACUAACUUCUGAGGAGGUAAAGUGCUUCUGUGAUUACAAUAUGGUGAUUAGUAUAAGUUAAACUGAUCAAGUUAUUGCUGACAUGUUUAAUGAAUUGCUCAGGCCGAGUCUCUAACUGGCAUCAAGAACCCUGUAAAAGCAGGACAAGAAAUUCUGAGAAAUGGGAAGGGAACAAAGUGGGUGAUUGUAAAAAUGGGCCCAAAAGGUUCAGUUCUAGUGACCAAAUCCAGUGUCUCAGUGGCACCUGCGUUUAAGGUACCUGCUUACAAAACAUCUGAUCUCUCAUAUUCACAUCAAGUUUAUAUGUAUCAUAGUCAUAGAGUAAGUUUAUGUAAUGUUCUUAAUCUUUCUACAAUCAUAUGAUCAGGUGGAGGUGGUUGAUACUGUUGGAUGUGGAGAUAGUUUUGUGGCUGCGAUUGCAUUGGGCUAUAUACGCGACAUGCCGCUUGUUAACACCUUGACGAUUGCAAACGCGGUUGGAGCAGCAACUGCAAUGGGGUGUGGAGCAGGUAGAAACGUUGCAAAAAGGCAUCACGUGGUGGAUCUCAUAAAGGCGUCGAAACUCAACGAUGAAGAAAGCUUGUUAAAAGAACUACUCGCCGAAAACCCGGAAACUCCUAAAGUCAAUCUUCUUUCAAAAGGGAUGAGAAAGGAGGGAAGCAACAAGCAGCAGAUAGAAAUCAUCUCUAUGGAAAAAGUGGUUUCUGAGUUGCUUCCAGAGCUUGAACUUGGGAGGUGUUGUGUAAAGGCUUCGUCUUGAUGCAUUUGAAACAUUGAUCGCUCACAAGAUUCGCGGGGAAACUUGUAAUAAAGAAGUGGAGAACCUUUUCAGCUGACUGGAUGAAGAAAUCUUGGGUAAUUGAUUGUUUGGCUAUUUUUGUGUGGGAACAACCCUCAAGGAAGAUAUGAAAGUGAAGUUGAUCUUCUUGCAACAGAAAGAGGAUAAUAGUUCAUCAUCAUAAAGAGAAGUUUAGUAUAUUUUUUUGAUGUUUGUUUUCUGUUAUUGUGUAACGUCUGUUAAAAUGACAUUGUUGGUCGGUAUUUUGUAGGAAUUUGAAUGUUACAUAUUCAGGAAAUCAGACGAACAGAAAACAAAGUUGUUCAAGAGUUUUAUUUCUAUUUUAAGUAUUUUUUUCAUAAUUUCAUCCAGUAGCGUUGAAGGAAUGAAACCCAACAUCUCUAAAAGAUUAAUGUGAUUGGGACUAAUCGAUCUCAGCUAUUUUUAGUAACGUGUGACUGAGUUAAAUGGUGGUAAGGAAGCCAGAUUCAGCAAUUUAGCCGCAGGAAACAGAAAUAGAUGGAGCUUCACCGCUGCUAGUGACUGGCUUUGAACGAAGGAAGGGAUGUGAUAAUGGAUGGACAUUCUCAUGGGUAUAUACCUUUUGUGGUGCAGACAAUAACAAUCGCUAGGAACGUGCACCGUCACCAUUCUCAUGAGUUUGAUUAUCGUACCAAUGAUGAAAUGAAACAGCUUUGAAAGGGACUUAGCUAUUAUAUAUGAUUUAAGGGAUGGUCCAAGUAACCAUGGAUUACAAGAACAUCACAGCAAAAACAAAGAAGAAAGAUGGAAUUAUACAAACACUACCCAACUACCAGAGAUGGAGAAAGCUACAACCAUGUACCACUAAAACCCUAGAUUCACUUCAUCCCCCUCUUCGAAGCCCUCUUCGCUGGAGACUUAACCGUCUUCGGCUUCACAGCCUUCUUCGCUGGAGUCUUCUUCUUCGUAACCACCUUAGAACUAGCCUUCUUCUUAGCACCAGCAGCAGCCUUUUUCCCCGGAGAUGUCACCGUCGACGUUUCUUUGUUAUGUUAGAUAUUCUUGUUACCAAUAAUUGAUAACUUUUAAUUAUAAUCAAUGUUGAUUGAUGCGCAAGGUUAGGGGAGGAAUGAUUCUGGUUACUAAUUAUAUGCAAUAUAUUUCGAUGGUAACAUGAAUAUAGUAUUGAUUUCUUUUUCGUUAAAUCAGAAUCGCUUUCCAAAAAUAUAAAAUAUUUUUUGUUACCAAGAAUAUAGCUAAUCGUUUGAUAGAAAUCAAUUAUCUUUGUUAUGUUAGAUAUUCUUGUUACCAAUAAUUGAUAACUUUUAAUUAUUUAAUGUUCAAAAUAAAUGUUGAUUGAUGCGCAAGGUUAGGGGAUCGCUGCGGCAGCAGGUUUCUUCUUCUCCGUAACCGCCUUGGGAGACGACGACGGCUUAGCAGACGGAAUCUUAAACGAGGCUUUAACCUUCACGAGCUUCUCGGAAGCAACGAGCCUCUUGAGAUUGAGAAGCAGGAGC
rnacentral:lncRNA from 1 species